rnacentral:rRNA from 1 species
GAUGAACGCUGGCGGCGUGCCUAAUACAUGCAAGUCGAGCGAAGCGGGGACGGGUGCGGAACACGUGGAUAACCUCCUUUACGUCUGGGAUAACUUCGGGAAACCGGAGCCCAACCGGCUACUUAUAGAUGGCUCCGCGUUGCAUUAGCUAGUUGGUAAGGUAACGGCUUACCAAGGCAACGAUGCAUAGCCGACCUGAGAGGGUGAUCGGCCACACUGGAACUGAGACACGGUCCAGACUCCUACGGGAGGCAGCAGUAGGGAAUCUUCCGCAAUGGGCGAAAGCCUGACGGAGCAACGCCGCGUGAGUGAAGAAGGUUUUCGGAUCGUAAAACUCUGUUAUUAGGGAAGCGGUACCUAAUCAGAAAGCCACGGCUAACUACGUGCCAGCAGCCGCGGUAAUUC